AUCUUUAGGUCUUCAAGAACUAAGACCAGGAACUCAUUGGUCCAAUUCUGAAUGUGGACCACAAUCCUCAAGAAUAGAACCUGGAAUCAUCAUUGGUGUUGUUGUGGCAUCAGUCCUAAUAGCUCCUAUAAUAAUAAUAAGAAGAAGAAUUGUAAUUCUAAGGAAGAAAAGAAGUCCAACAACAGUGACUUUUUCUCCAGUGACAGUAAAUGCUGUAGAGGCAUCAUCAGAUUUAGAGGAAACACCAAGCAAUGUAGUACAAUGAAACAGAAGAAAGUACAGCAUCUUGCAGGUGUUAGUUUUGUAGAUGAAACAAAGCCGCUUGAUGACAAUGGAUCCUCCUAAAGAGGUCAAAGGGCAGACAAACCUCUCAGGCAGUAACAUCCCAGUCUGCUUCAGUGGCCCAGAAAUCAGGAGCAAACCCAGACUCAGAGAUGGAUAGGUAAGAGAUAGCAUUAUCAUAAUCAAACCCAGACUCAGAGCUGGCACCUCUUGUUAUACACUACAAAUAUGAACAUAGCGUUCUCUGUGAGACUGAAGUUUUAUAUUUAAUUAAAAUCCUCACAUUAAUUCAGUUUAAGAGGGCAUGAAAUAGAGCUCACCAGAUUGUAGUCCUAAAAAAAGUGAACUGAGUUGCCUCUGGUUUGUUCAGACAUUCCUAUAGGGAAGGAGUAGGGUUUUAGGAUAAACGCGUAAAAUAAGGUCUGAGGUUAAAACAAGGCUUAGGAAAUCUUAUACGUUUUGUUCUAUGGGAUAAUUUGAUGAAUUAUGAAGCGUUUAUGUGCUUUUUAUGGUGACAUAAAUUCUUAGAAAUUCACAAAAAGUGACGUUAGCUGAUGAUUAUCUCAUAGAACAAAACUGCUAAGCCGGUCAAAAGUUUGGACACCCCUACUCAUUCAAGGGUUUUUCUUUAUUUGUACUAUUUUCUACAUUGUAGAAUAAUCA